rnacentral:rRNA from 1 species
UGAUGACGGCCUUCGGGUUGUAAAGCUCUGUUAAUCGGGACGAAAGGCCUUCUUGCGAAUAGUGAGAAGGAUUGACGGUACCGGAAUAGAAAGCCACGGCUAACUACGUGCCAGCAGCCGCGGUAAUACGUAGGUGGCAAGCGUUGUCCGGAAUUAUUGGGCGUAAAGCGCGCGCAGGCGGAUCAGUCAGUCUGUCUUAAAAGUUCGGGGCUUAACCCCGUGAUGGGAUGGAAACUGCUGAUCUAGAGUAUCGGAGAGGAAAGUGGAAUUCCUAGUGUAGCGGUGAAAUGCGUAGAUAUUAGGAAGAACACCAGUGGCGAAGGCGACUUUCUGGACGAAAACUGACGCUGAGGCGCGAAAGCCAGGGGAGCGAACGGGAUUAGAUACCCCGGUAGUCCUGGCCGUAAACGAUGGGUACUAGGUGUAGGAGGUAUCGACCCCUUCUGUGCCGGAGUUAACGCAAUAAGUACCCCGCCUGGGGAGUACGACCGCAAGGUUGAAACUCAAAGGAAUUGACGGGGGCCCGCACAAG